UACGUAGGUGGCAAGCGUUGUCCGGAUUUAUUGGGCGUAAAGCGCGCGCAGGCGGUCUUUUAAGUCUGAUGUGAAAGCCCCCGGCUUAACCGGGGAGGGUCAUUGGAAACUGGAAGACUGGAGUGCAGAAGAGGAGAGUGGAAUUCCACGUGUAGCGGUGAAAUGCGUAGAUAUGUGGAGGAACACCAGUGGCGAAGGCGACUCUCUGGUCUGUAACUGACGCUGAGGCGCGAAAGCGUGGGGAGCAA
rnacentral:rRNA from 1 species